UCAUAGACGAUUAUCCUUUCGUCUCGAUGGACACUGAGUUUCCCGGCGUGAUUUUCAAAUCCGAUCUCCGCCGUGGAAACCCGGCCGAUCUCUACCGCCUCCUCAAAUCCAAUGUUGACGCGCUAAGCCUCAUCCAGGUCGGUCUUACUCUCUCCGACGCCGACGGUAACCUCCCCGAUCUCGGUGAUGGCCGGCGCUUCAUCUGGGAGUUUAAUUUCAAGGAUUUCGAUGUGGCGCGUGACGCACACGCUCCGGAUUCGAUCGAGCUUCUCCGUCGGCAAGGGAUUGAUUUCGAGCGGAACCGCCGCGACGGCG
rnacentral:lncRNA from 1 species